rnacentral:tRNA from 1 species
GUGGGUGUAGCUCAGUUGGUUAGAGCACAAGAUUGUGGUUCUUGGGGCCGUGGGUUCGAAUCCCAUCAUCCACCCCA